rnacentral:ncRNA from 2 species
UACGGAGGGAGCUAGCGUUGUUCGGAAUUACUGGGCGUAAAGCGUACGUAGGCGGUUACUCAAGUCAGAGGUGAAAGCCCGGGGCUCAACCCCGGAACUGCCUUUGAAACUAGGUAGCUAGAAUCUUGGAGAGGUCAGUGGAAUUCCGAGUGUAGAGGUGAAAUUCGUAGAUAUUCGGAAGAACACCAGUGGCGAAGGCGACUGACUGGACAAGCAUUGACGCUGAGGUACGAAAGCGUGGGGAGCAAACAGG